GCCCUUCCUACGGGAGGCAGCAGUGGGGAAUAUUGCACAAUGGGGGAAACCCUGAUGCAGCGACGCAGCGUGCGGGAUGACGGCCUUCGGGUUGUAAACCGCUUUCAGCAGGGAAGAAGCCGUAAGGUGACGGUACCUGCAGAAGAAGUACCGGCUAACUACGUGCCAGCAGCCGCGGUAAUACGUAGGGUACGAGCGUUGUCCGGAAUUAUUGGGCGUAAAGAGCUCGUAGGUGGUUGGUCACGUCUGCUGUGGAAACGCAACGCUUAACGUUGCGCGGGCAGUGGGUACGGGCUGACUAGAGUGCAGUAGGGGAGUCUGGAAUUCCUGGUGUAGCGGUGAAAUGCGCAGAUAUCAGGAGGAACACCGGUGGCGAAGGCGGGACUCUGGGCUGUGACUGACACUGAGGAGCGAAAGCAUGGGGAGCGAACAGGAUUAGAUACCCUGGUAGUCCAUGCCGUAAACGUUGGGCACUAGGUGUGGGGGACAUUCCACGUUUUCCGCGCCGUAGCUAACGCAUUAAGUGCCCCGCCUGGGGAGUACGGUCGCAAGGCUAAAACUCAAAGGAAUGACGGAAGGGC
rnacentral:rRNA from 1 species